UCUGAUUUGGUCAGCGGCGGACGGGUGAGUAACACGUGGGCAACCUGCCCGCAAGACCGGGAUAACUCCGGGAAACCGGAGCUAAUACCGGAUAACACCGAAGACCGCAUGGUCUUUGGUUGAAAGGCGGCCUUUGGCUGUCACUUGCGGAUGGGCCCGCGGCGCAUUAGCUAGUUGGUGAGGUAACGGCUCACCAAGGCGACGAUGCGUAGCCGGCCUGAGAGGGUGACCGGCCACACUGGGACUGAGACACGGCCCAGACUCCUACGGGAGGCAGCAGUAGGGAAUCUUCCGCAAUGGGCGAAAGCCUGACGGAGCGACGCCGCGUGAGCGAAGAAGGCCUUCGGGUCGUAAAGCUCUGUUGUGAGGGACGAAGGAGCGCCGUUCGAAGAGGGCGGCGCGGUGACGGUACCUCACGAGGAAGCCCCGGCUAACUACGUGCCAGCAGCCGCGGUAAUACGUAGGGGGCGAGCGUUGUCCGGAAUUAUUGGGCGUAAAGCGCGCGCAGGCGGUUCCUUAAGUCUGAUGUGAAAGCCCACGGCUCAACCCGUGGAGGGUCAUUGGAAACUGGGGGACUUGAGUGCAGGAGAGGAGAGCGGAAUUCCACGUGUAGCGGUGAAAUGCGUAGAGAUGUGGAGGAACACCAGUGGCGAAAGCGGCUCUCUGGCCUGCAACUGACGCUGAGGCGCGAAAGCGUGGGGAGCAAACAGGAUUAGAUACCCUGGUAGUCCACGCCGUAAACGAUGAGUGCUAAGUGUUAGAGGGUCACACCCUUUAGUGCUGCAGCUAACGCGAUAAGCACUCCGNCUGGG
rnacentral:rRNA from 1 species